CGGGCUUGGUGAAUGGCUCUGACGCGCGCCAUUUGAUGGUCUGGAGCUCUUGGUCGCUUGGAGCAUUGUUCAGGAGGAGCUGAUCAAGGAGCUCGAUUUGAUUCUCGAGAGCUGCAGUAGGUUCUUAGUGGAUCAUGGGUUAAAAAGGGUCACCAAUUGUUUCUUGCUUCACUUGAUGGAGUUUGGCCCUUUGAAGCUUACUGAUCCUUCGAAGAUUGGUGGGCUGUUGAACGGGUUGAAAACUAUGAGGAUGAAUAACCCCUUUUGGCAGUCUUUAUGGUGAAUCUAUGUUUUUUAACAUUCCUCAGCUUUUGGCUAUGUUUGUGACUGUGAAUGUAUCUGAAAUACGUGUGAGGAUGUUUUGUACCAUAUAUGUGAGGAUGUUUUGUAACAUAUCUCAAUUUGUGUUGCAAGUGUAACAUAUAUGCGAGGAUGUUUUGUAAUAUGCGAGGAUGUUUUGUAACAUAUAGGCGAGGAUGUUAAAAUUGGUCAUUGUUAAAAUUUGUUUGAUCUCUCAACUUGUGACUGAAUUUAGUGGUGAGUUUGUAGCAUAUUUCAGCUUGUGAUGGUGUUUGUGAUUGAAAAUGUACCGUGUUAAGUGUAGAGGAUGUUUUGUAACAU